UAAGUACUCCCUCCGUUCGGAAUUACUUGUCACAAAAAUGGAUGUAUCUAGACGUAUUUUAGUUCUAUCUACAUCCAUUUCCGAGACAAGUAAUUCCGAACGGAGGGAGUACUUA
rfam:Triticum aestivum genome assembly, contig: Triticum_aestivum_CS42_TGACv1_scaffold_306585_4AS